GUAAAAUAAAACAAAUAAACCAAGCAACAUAAUGAAAAAGGUGGUAAAAUGGAUAAGUAGAAGAAAUUGCUCUGCUGCUUUCGUAGAAGAAAUGAGAAACAAAGAAGAUGAGGGAGUGCGAAAGAAAUGACUUUUGGGUCUUGGCAGAUAAAGCAGAGAUUAAACCCAGCUUCCUCCAUCAGGUGAAGGGCAAGAAUCGUAUGCACGCUCAGAAUGGAUUUAGGGGCGCUUGGCACGAUUUGGUUUAAUAUGGUUAACAAUUUGAGGGUAUUCCACACUUCUAGGAGUCAAGGAGCACCGCUUGUCGAGCUGUCCACAUGGAGUCAAUAGGAUAUUUGUAAUGUAUUUGUACAUUUGUAAAUUAUGAUGUAAUUAGCAAAGUAUGGAAAUCCAAAGGUAGGUGUUACAAUAUCCUUAACGUGUUUGGGCAUAGAUUUUCAACAAUUUUGAAAGACAAAUUUUGAAGA